UGGGCGACUAGCCACGGCUUCAGGCGGACACGUCGCGGCGUCACCGACAUGGCGACUGGCUGAGAAAACACAAGGCAGCGAAGCCUCACCACGCCCACUUCCCACUCAGCCGAAACUCAGGUACGCCUGUGACGUCACACUGAUGACACACCUUUUCCAGAAUGUCAAACUCACGAGUCGUGUACGCUCCAAGUACAUCGUAAUUUUUUUUGCGUCAUCAUAUUUUCUAUUUUAUAUCGUCUCUGCUGGCCCAAAUACUAAUAGAAACACUGACAAAUUCGAAUGUUGGCUCAGUGAAAUCGGGUUUAUUUAUGCCCAAGUGUUUGUCUUGGCUGCAUUGCUUUUAAGAUUUGUAACAACCUAUAUGAACCUCAAGAUAAAAUUGGCCACAAAAUGCCUGCACACUGUCAUAAAAUUGUGUAAAAAAAAAAA